CAGGGAUGAGUGGGAAAGCGGGACUCUCGGGCUCUCUCUAGGGGUAAUUCCGGGUAAGGCUGGACUCUCGGGCUCUCUCUAGGGUUCUUCCGGGUAAGGCCGGACUCUCAGGCUCUCUCUAGGGGUAAUUCCGGGUAAGGCUGGACUCUCGGGCUCUCUCUAGGGUUCUUCCGGGUAAGGCUGGACUCUCGGGCUCUCUCUAGGGUUCUUCCGGGUAAGGCCGGACUCUCAGGCUCUCUCUAGGGGUAAUUCCGGGUAAGGCGGACUCUCAGGCUCUCUCUAGGGGUAAUUCCGGGUAAGGCCGGACUCUCAGGCUCUCUCUAGGGGUAAUUCCGGGUAAGGCGGACUCUCAGGCUCUCUCUAGGGGUAAUUCCGGGUAAGGCCGGACUCUCGGGCUCUCUCUAGGGGUAAUUCCGGGUAAGGCCGGACUCUCAGGCUCUCUCUAGGGGUAAUUCCGGGUAAGGCCGGACUCUCAGGCUCUCUCUAGGGGUCUUCCGGGUAAGGCCGGACUCUACUCUCGGGCUCUCUCUAGGGGUCUUCCAGGUAAGGCUGGACUCUCGGGCUCUCUCUAGGGUUCUUCCGGGUAAGGCCGGACUCUCAGGCUCUCUCUAGGAGUCCUGACAGCAGUUAAACAGACUGUUACAUAAAAAUUCAUAUGAAUCUAUAUAUCCCUGAGCUCAACGUCUUUCCUAUAAUCCUUCCCUGGCCUGAGACACAGAGCGUGGGAAUCCCGAGACGUUUCAGUGAGUUCCUUUCAGUUGUAAAUUGUGACGCCACCUCUGCACCUGGUCACACGUUCUGGUUCAUGCCCUGACAAGAGACGCAUGGCUGAGCUCUGCGCAGGUAAUCCGUGGUAAUUUGGUUUAGGCCGUGUUUAAAUCAUGUUCACUUAUCUGAUGUAUGCGUUCAAUGAUCCCCAUAAUACAUUUUGGUAUCUAAUGGAUAGAAAUAUGUUUCGUGUACUAUAUGG